rnacentral:tRNA from 1 species
GCACGCGUAGCUCAGCGGUAGAGCACUCGACCGAUAAUCGAGGGGCCGAAAGUUCGAAUCUUUCCGCAUGCACCA